rnacentral:rRNA from 1 species
GWUWWAUGAGUUUAUUUAAGGUCUGACCUGCCCACUGAAUUUAAAUGGCCGCAGUAUUCUAACUGUGCAAAGGUAGCAUAAUAAUUAGUCUUUUAAUUGAAGGCUGGAAUGAAUGGUUGGACGAGAUAUAUACUGUUUCAUUUAAAUUUGUUAUAGAAUUUUAUUUUUCAGUCAAAAAGCUGAAAUGAUCUUAAAAGACGAGAAGACCCUAUAAAUCUUUACACUUUAUUGUAUAUUGAAAUUUAGACAAAUUUUUAAAGUUGCUUGAUAGUGUUUUAUUGGGGUGAUAUUAAAAUUUAAUAAACUUUUAUUUUUUGCGACAUUGAUUUUUGAAUUGUUGAUCCGUUUGAGCGAUUAGUAAAAUAAGUUACUUUAGGGAUAACAGCGUAAUUUUUCUGGAGAGUUCAUAUCGAUAGGAAAGAUUGCGACCUCGAUGUUGGAUUAAGGUAUUAAUUUAG